GAUGAACGCUGGCGGUGUGCUUAACACAUGCAAGUCGAACGGAAAGGCCCAAGCUUGCUUGGGUACUCGAGUGGCGAACGGGUGAGUAACACGUGGGCGAUCUGCACUGCACUUCGGGAUAAGCCAGGGAAACUGGGUCUAAUACCGGAUAGGACGAUGGCUUCGAUGCCAUUGUGGAAAGAUUUGUCGGUGUGGGAUGAGCUCGCGGCGUAUCAGCUUGUUGGUGGGGUAGUGGUCUACCAAGGCGUCGACGGGUAGCCGGCCUGAGAGUGUGUACGGCCGCACUGGGGCUGAGAUACGGCCCAGAGUCCUACGGGGGGGAGCAGUGGGGAAUAUUGCACAAUGGGCGCCAGCCUGAUGCAGCGACGCCGCGGGGUGGGUGACGGCCUUCGGGUUGUAAACUCCUUUCGCUAGGGACAAAGCGUUUUUGUGACGGUACCUGGAGAAGAAGCACCGGCUAACUACGUG
rnacentral:rRNA from 1 species